UCAGAUUGUUGACAAAGUGCGCGUCGUUCAUGCCGGAUGCGGCGUGAACGCCUUAUCCGGCCUACAAAAAUCUUGCCAAUUCAAUAUAUUGCAGGAUAGUGUAGGCCUGAUAAGCGUAGCGCAUCAGGCAGUUUUGCGUUUGUCAUCAGUCUCUAAU
rnacentral:misc_RNA from 1 species